rnacentral:lncRNA from 1 species
UUGUCAUUUUUAUUUGCAAUACUUUAGGUCCAAGUUUCAAACUGCAAUAUUUUUACACUCAAGACACAGUCAUGCACAAUCCAUAAUUCAAUUUUCUAUUGCUUCAACCACAAUUUAAAAUAACAAUAUUGGAAACAAAAGUUUAAAAAAAAUCAGAAGCUGAGGUCAGAAGGAUGGAACCAUACCAUCAGCAGGUCUACGAAAGAAAUAACUUACUGAAAAAACUCAAACAAACAAAAAGACCAUAAAUACCUUUAAUCCAAAGUUACAGAAGAAUUUCACUACACAUGGGUUUUACAGGUAACACAUUUUAACAAAAGUGAUGCACAACCAAAUGAGAUACAAUUCUGAUAAAAAAGGAAAAUAUAGAUCCUCCUCAACUUGUUUUGUCUGGAUAUCAUGAGUACAAUCCCAGUAGAUGUCAGCACCGUGUGAUCUGACUCCUCCUGGCUGAUGUACUGAGACUUAAAACUCAACCCACUAAUGGUUAUAGGAUUCUGUGAAAGGUCUUAUCACUAAUGAAUAUAGUAUAUGCGGGUCCAUAAAGCACACCACACACAAGCACACAUACUCAACUUGAAUUUCACACUCAGGGCUAGUUGGCACUCUGUUAAGAGGCAGGGCAUCGGGACUAGGUGACUUCCAGUUUACCCUCUUUCUGGCAGUCUACUCAUAAACUGGCCGCUCACUGUGGGAGUUGUCAUCAGAAAUGCUAUCUUUGGUUCCCAACAAGUGGAUGUGUCAACAUUCCUUGAUGCUAAUAGCACAUACUUACUUUUUCACUUCUUUGUCUGCAACCUACAAGGGCUUAUGUCUGCUCUUACUAGUCCUAGCCAUUGAAAUGCAUGGGUUCUGCCAUCUUGUGCCAUUUACAAAGUAAAGUCUAUAAACCCAACAUCACUUUGUAGGAAAGGAAAGGCCCAAACAUCGUUCUGUUCUAGCAAGUGUGACAGUGUAUUUCUGUUCUAGUAGCACAUAUUGGCCACAGCUUAAUGAAAACCAGACUUCACAUACAGAGCAUAUGGAAAAUAAAAACUGGGAACACAUCACAGAAAAAGGACAUUAAAACAACAACGAAACAAAAUGCGAGGAUUGGGAAGGCUGCCAUAAGUUUUAUCAACAUUCCCUAGUGUUAUUUUCAUUUACUUAAGGUUUUUUUCUUCCCCCAUCAUCUUACAUAUUUCUACAGUUUAACGGCAACAUAAGAAACCCAGGCUUAAGCAUGCAAUAUUUGCCAUCAAUCACUUUAGCAGGUUGAAUUUGCAAGGCAACCUAUAGUACCACAGAAUGAUAGAACUUUUGGAAAGACCUUGGAGGUCAUCUGGUCCAAUAGCCUUAUUUUACAGAUGAAGGAACAGCCAUGAGAAGGUUAAGUGGCUUGCCCAAGGCCUCAAACGAAGUGAGAAACAGAGCCUAUGUUAGAAUCCAGGUCUCCUUACUCCUAGGCUGGUCCUCCUUCCACCACGUCUGCUUGCUUCUUUAUAACUCCUGCUGACUUCCUCUUAGGUACUAAAUCAGGUGAACACAAUACUUCCCUCAACUGCUGGUAGGUAUUAUGGGGCAGCAUUCACCUGACAGCAGCUUCCAAAGGAGACUCUGACAGCCUCAACCUGUUUCUAUCAGUUUAUCCUGCAAGUAUGACUGUAUUACGUGGCAGUAAAUGCUAUAUGUACGGUAGUAUACUUGCACAUAGACGUGUGCAUGUGGAGGUGACAGCUCCGUUCCCGCAUUUGCAGAUUCAGUUAGAGAUUGUUUAAUAAUAAACAGACAUUCUCAAUGCAUGAGGAGUUGGGUGAUAUUCAUUUGGCCACUACAGGAGUGUGGGAUCAGGAAAGGAGUGACAAAAUUAAAGCUAACCAACAGAAAGAUGAUAUCAGAAGCAAAUCUCUUAUGAAAAAUUCUUUCUUAGGGUAAAAUAUUUCCACUGUUUCCAAGGUACCAUUUAUUUCCUUCCCAAGCCACAUGCAAAUAUGUUCAGAAUUGUGUGUUAAGUUCACUCGAAAUCCCAGGCCUAUUAGACCAUCAAUUUACGAAUGCUGAGUUGUGGUCCUCUUGCUUAGAGGAUGGGAGAAGCUUGCAUCACUGGCCAUGCCUGUGUUUAACUGAAUAUUAACUGCGAGUAGCACAGAGAAGGACCAUGAGAUUUGACCGGGGAUGGCAGGGAUAAAGAACUCUAAUUAAGUAUUAUUUUCACAUUGAGAAUGGCAAUGAAAAGUGGGUUCUCUCAGUAUAAGGUCUGCUCUUGGGGAAACUGAGUCACAUCUGAGCCCACUGCAUUAUAAAACUCAUCAUCUAAAAUUUCUUUGGUGGUUAGAGGAAAAUUUUUCUCUCUUGGUACUCUCCCUUUGCCCUUUAAAAAUGACAGUAGUUACUGCAAUCAACCUAUCAUCAAGCAGCACAGAAUGCACAUGGAGGCCAUCUCCAGCCAAAGCGAAUAGGAGCUGAAGACCAAUAGGCAAAGGCAGUUCUAAAUAUUUGUCUUUAUGUUUUCAUAGUUGGCUUUUAAUUGCAAGUCCUAACUUCUACUGAAAUCAAAGGGACUUGUCUACUCAUCACUAAAAGGAGCAUUGUACCUGAAUGAUAUAACAUCUGGUGGAACAAGGACACGGUGGAAGUUGGGGGGAGUCCUCCUUCUGUUCUUCUAAAAUCCAACCUGAAAAUUUGCUAAAAUGAGCCAGAAAGGUGAUACCUGAACAUCACCCCAUCCAAUCUAAAGUAACCAAAACAUAAACCUCUGCACCAUGUCAAAGCAGAGGGCAGCCAAUUUUAAAGCAGAAGGAUGUGUCUGGAGAUCUAAUGGCGACAUCUCCCUAGCUUCCACUUAGAGAUAAUAGUCUGCUAAGAAAGCAUGUGCCAUACCCGAGCGUGUGCCAACCUCAGCACCCAGGCAAAUAUAAAGCCUAUGGAAUAAUUGUAACUAGCAAAUAUCUGUGCCCUGCAUGCUCUGGGCUCUGGUCAGAAGACAUCUGCUUCUGGUGUCUUUUCUAUGUUUCUACAGUCCCCUUUCCAAUGUUUAUUUAUUAUAAAGCAAUAUUAUAACAGUAUCAAAGAAACUUUUUAAAGGAAUUUUUUUUGCAUAAUCCCACCACUGUAACACAACUGAUUUCAACAGUGUUCCCAGUCUUUGUCCGUUAUGCACACUUAUUUUUCCAUAGUUGUAAUCCCUCUUUGUGUUAUUUAAAAGUGAUUUGAUAGAUUCUCUCUGAGAACUGGCAGCCUCACUAGAAAUAAACACGCCACUGUGCAAAGGAAUAUAGUUAUUUACACGAUCUUUGAGUGGAGAAAUAUCCUUUAUAGACAAACAUCUCAAACUAUCAAAACAGUUAUACAGACGACAGGAAGCAAUUUCAUAUUUCUUUUUCUUUUAGCAAUGGAAUGUGCUUCACAGGAGAGGGAUGGAUGUGGGGGAUUAGGUGGUUAAACUCAACAUUGGGGUGCAAUUCACAAGCCUGAAGAAAUCUGAGUAACACAAUUAAAGAAUAAAUACUUGAGUUAAAUCUUCUUACAUGACUUGGCCAUCCAGUAGCCAAAACGGAACAUGGACACACAAAUAUUUACAAUGACACAUAGACGAGAUCAGCAAGAGCGAAGUCAUUACCCAACACGGUGACUGAUUUGGGGGGAUUGUGUCAUCCAAAAAUCCUCAUGGGAUUAUGACAACGCACCGGAUCCUUGCUACAACAUUAAUGUUCUCUUCUCUCUUAAAUAAAUAAUCUCUACUGUGCUUCUUACCCUUCCCUGACUUUCCCUCUGCCCUAUCCCUAUCUCAGGACAUUUUGCCAUCAACACUCCACAACGUGCCUUCAUUAUUUCUGGGCACACUAGCAAUUUUAAGGAUCUGGAUAGAUUCAUCUGUGUCAAGAUGAGCUUAAAAAAAAAAUCCAGAGAAAGGGAAUAAACGACCACCUGGAGUCCAAGUUGUUCAAGUGUACCCAAUGUGAAUCCUUCAGCAUCAUUUUGGCAGGAGAAACAGCUUCUUGCUAAUACUUAUUAGAAAUAUACAUAACUCUCCAACGUGGGGGAGGGGUUUUAGAAGCUAUUCUCAUUUAAAAAUUUACAUAGAUAUAAAUUUGUAAGAGUAAAGCCUACUGCACUAUAUUACCAUAAAAUCGUGGUACAAUGGGGGCGCGGCGAAGAAGUACCUGGCUCCUCAUUGGUAAUAUGCAGAACCGAAAGCAUAAAAGAGCAACCAUUUUUCUGCCUACAGUGAUCUCAGGAUCACUGCUCCAGGUCUCUCCCCACCCAAAAGGCCUUUAAGACAUAUAAGAGACGCUAAUCAACAACUAGGGCUUCCCAACCAGCUUUGUGAUUCUCUCCACUGGCAGGGGCAUAGUUAGUGUACUGAAUUCUACUCACACCCCAGGUAUUAUUUCAUUGAAUUCCCUGGCACUAUGAAUGAAACAUUAAAAAAAGAACAUUUAACUUUAAGUGAAAUAAAUAUUAAGGCCUCUCUCUCUUUCUCUCUCUCUCUCUCUCUCAUUAGAACAGUGUGGCUUUCAAAAUUUCAGGCCCAACCACCUUUUUGCCAAGUAUAACACAACAUGUUUCAAAUGAAUGUAACCAUUUGAUCUUCUUUUUGCAUGUGUUGUUUUAUCUCACUGUGGGUAUUUUCUAGGGGGUCAAGCCCUCCCAAAUUUUAUCGUAAAAGAAAACAAUAGGAAAAUAGGAAAUCCACCAGUGGUGCCAUUUCCUAAACAUAAACACAUGCACUAUAUGGUUAGCAGAAACUCUCUAAAGAAAGUGCUUGCUUUUUAAGGAACAGAUGGAUGGUUAAAUGGACAGAUGUACCUUGGCAGAGAAGAGAGGCUCGGGCCACCAAUCUCCUUCUCCUUCUUGCUGAAUGUAGAUAUGUAACAUAUUGAGAAUCUGAAUAGAACCUAUCAAGAAGCCUUCUAUUGAACAGACUGUUUCUCAAAGGCAUGGAGAAACCACUUUACAGAGUUUAUGAAACUGACAAUACAUUUGAAAGAGAAGCAUACCCAUUUUUUCUACACAGACACCCUCCAGAUAUUUUUCUACUCUAGAAGAUUCAGGAAGUGCCAACUGUUGAAUUGUUAAGAAGUAGCUACAUGAUUGGGCUGAUACUUCUUGGGAUAUGAUCACAAGCCCUAAUUAUUUUUUUAAAUUUUUUUCCUAAUUAUUUUUCACUGGAAAAUUUCCAGAUCUUUCUGAAUGCAGUUUUGGAAUUCAAAAGCUGAAAGGACAAAGUCUGGCCAUACUAUAUCCUGAAACAGAAACUGAUGAGACAGGGAAAAUGGGAACAAGUACUUAGAGCCAAAUGUUGAUUGGGAUGUAGUUGUCAUGGACCCCUUGUUUCUGACAGGUUUGGAUGCUUAGAAAUAUCUCUGUUCCCCAGUUCUUUUAAGAAAUUUAAAAAAUGUUAUAACUUGUCACAUGAUUCUGAUCGUAAGCAAAUGUUGGCUAAGGGGUCUGUUUCCUCCAAAGGUGCUUAUUUUACAAGCAAAAGAGAGGAUUAAGUUAGGUCUCCUGAUCUUUGUUUCCUUUGUCCACCAAAGAUCUGUGUCACACACUCAUCUUGCUUCCCUUUUGGCUCUCAGAGAAAGUCCCAUCUUUGUCUAAGAAUGGUUUCUCCCGUUGGGAUUUCCUAGGUUGAGGACCUGGACCCACCCAACAGGAGUACCACCACUUUCAAUGUGUCCUUUGUCAGGCGCCAUGAAGAUGAAUGAGCCAGUUUCUAGAAAUGAUACAUCAACUACCUCUGAAGCGUCGUUGUGAAAAUGUGACAGGAUUUCACCAUUUGAGCUUUAUUUAGAUAGACGGUUUUGAAAAGCCCUUCCUGAACACACAUAUUCCUCUCUGCUUUUGGAAAAAUGCCUUAAAAGAAACCUUUUCCAAUACAAAUGCAGAAAAAAAAAAGGCACACAAACCAAGCCACCACUAUAGAAGAAGAAUAAAAAAUUGCAACUCUAUUAGGGCAUGGACUUCCACAUGUUCACACAGUACUUGCUCUG